GAUAGUCCAGAGCAUCGGUAUGCACAAUAAAUUGAUUUGAGUCUCUAGGCCUGCCCUCUCUGAUGCCAUUUGGCUUUGAUUUGGGGGCAUGGUUUUACAACAAAACG